UAAAAUCAUGAAUUUUUUACUCCCUAAGACACUUUAUCACUUUGAAAUUUCAUCCCAACACACUUUCUACAUAUGACAACCUUUGGAGCUAGUGAAUGUCAUUUAUGCCCUCAUGCAACAGAAAACGCAAAAACCAAACCGGUCCGAUUUAGUUGUUGUACCAACCCUCUUUUUAAUCAAUUCCCAACCCUAAUUUCUAAUUCAAAACUCACAGCCUCUCUCAACUCACCCCUUUGCGGCGAUUCUUUAAAACCUUAGAUUUUCUCUUGCAAACCACACAUAGGCUUUCUCCUUCCUGUUUCGCCUCCAAAUCACUGAAUCACACCAUCUUUGUCAUUCUUCUGUUCUUCAAGGUCAAGACAUGCAAGGUUUGUUUCAUCCUAAUCUACACAUUCUUUUGUCUGGAUCCAGUAUUAUAAGCUUCUAAUUGAUUUCUUCAAUAACUACACCAUCUUUGUCUGGGUUUCAUAUUCUCGAUUCAAAUCCAUAGAACACCGAUUUGUGUUCGUGGUUAUUUUUAUGAAUUUGGUUUACUUUUUCAUACCCAAAAAAUGAUUUCACGGUUUAUAGAUUUGCCAAAGUUAAUUUUUUUUCCGAUAUUUUCAGGUAACAACCACCUACUGGUACCCUAGUGGACGCCUCAACAUUUACUCAAAGCCAAACCUUCUAGCUUUCAUCCACCAUGUAAUUCUAGAUUUGUGGACGGAGUAGAAGUAAGAAAGAUUUAUGGACAUCCUUAUCAAACUAACCUAAUUCUUAAGCUUUCAUCUGCAAACUUUUUACUUUCUAUCCUCCAUGUCCAUUUUCACAAACCGACUUUUUGUGUUUUUUUUGUGUGGUUGAUACUUCUAACCCAUGUAAUAUGUUAAACCUAACUCUAGGUAUUUACUUUAGGCUUUGUAUUAUGUUAACGAUCAGCACCAACCUGAUUGCAUCGGGUUUAUUUUGAACAUUUUGUGGAUGCAAUAGAUUUGGAAAAGUGUAUGUGGAUGGAAUAGAUGCAAAAACGUUUUGUGGAGAGAAUAGAUGUAAGAAGUUUUUGUGGACGGAGUAGAAGUAAGCAAGAUUUGUGGAUGGAUUAGUCCGGCCACAAUAUAAUGGACG
rnacentral:lncRNA from 1 species